GUGCUGCCAAACCAAUUUAUGAAAGAUGAUGUGGAUCUUUCGGUCUGUCAAGGCUAUAUAUCGUCCAAGACACUGAACAACUUCUCUUGUGUGAUACUUGGAGGAAUGGUAACAGAACAUAU